GUCUCGGUGGUGUGGUGGUAGCACACGCACCAGUAUGAGUGGAACGCGGGUUCAACUCCCGUCUGAGAUC